rnacentral:rRNA from 1 species
CCUACGGGUGGCAGCAGUGAGGAAAAUUGGUCAAUGGCCGGAAGGCUGAACCAGCCAUGCCGCGUGAAGGUCAGUGCCCUAUGGGCGUUAAACUUCUUUUGUGCGGGAGCAAUAAUGGUCACGUGUGGCCAGACGAGAGUACCGUACGAAUAAGCAUCGGCUAACUCCGUGCCAGCAGCCGCGGUAAUACGGAGGGUGCAAGCGUUGUCCGGAAUCAUUGGGCGUAAAGAGUUCGUAGGUGGCAUAUUAAGUCUGGUGUUAAAUGCAGAAGCUCAACUUCUGUUCGGCACUGGAUACUGGUAAGCUUGAAUGCGGUAGAGGUAAAGGGAAUGCCUGGUGUAGCGGUGAAAUGCGUAGAUAUCAGGAGGAACAUCGGUGGCGUAAGCGCUUUACUGGGCCGUAAUUGACACUGAGGAACGAAAGCCGGGGUAGCAAAUGGGAUUAGAUACCCGGGUAGUC